UUUCAUAUGAUAUCUUUAUAUUUCUGCAAUUCUCUUAGGCCAAAAAAAAAAAACAUUUCGCAAACUCAACAUAAAGUUUUUCAAGAACAGCUUGAUGCUAUUGAUUCUUAGUAGCAAUGGAAACAUCUGAAGGAACAAACCUUUUUCCCCAAGAAUUAUCAACCCUCCCACAAGAACUCAUCAUUGAAAUUCUGGUCAGAUUACCUGUCAAACUCCUCUUGAAAUUCAGGUGUGUUUCAAAAUCAUGGCUUUCUUUACUCUCAAAUACUGAAUUCCGCAAAACCCAUGUCAAUUUUUCCAUAAAGAAUCCCAAAAUGGCUGAUUAUACAAUUGUUGGUGUAGCCUCAGUCUCUGGUUUAGGUAAAAUCUGCCAUGUUUACACCAUACAGUGUGAAAAUUCAUUUAUUACUGUGGCUAAACAUGGUUGUCCUCCUAAAUCUUUGCCUCUCUCGGCUUGGCUUUUGGGUUCUUGCAAUGGUUUAGUUUGUUUAACUAGUGACUCAUUUACGCUAAUGCUAUUGAAUCCAUGUACUGGAAAUUUUAAUGUAUUUCCUGAUACAAUGUCUCAGUAUAAAGUUGGUGCUGGUGGUUGUUAUGUUAGAUAUGGAUUUGGUUAUGAUGCAUCUAUUGAAGAUUAUAAGGUUGUCAAGAUCUUUAGUUUUCCUCAGAGUGAGGGCAGACAUGAGAACAUAGUUAAGGUUUAUAGCUUAAAGGCUAAUUCUUGGUCGACUAUUCAGGGUUUUAAUAGUGGUCGUAUAAAUGGAAUGGUGGGUGUGUUUUCAAAUGGGGCUCUUCAUUGGGAUGUUUGUCAUCCUCAUAUUUCGUGUGCUUCUUCGGCGAUUAUUACUUUGGAUUUGGCUGCAGAGAAAUAUGGAAAAAUAGCACUGCCUAGUUAUGAAGAUGGAGGUAUUCAUUGGACAUUAGGCGUUUCAAGAGGGCGUUUAGUUGCCUGUUGCAACUAUGAAACAAAUAAGGCAGAUAUUUGGGUGAUAAAGGAGUAUGGUGUCGAGAAAUCCUGGACUAAGUUGGUUGCCAUCUCGUUGCCUGUUGAUCGUAGAGUUGAUAUCACUCCAUUGUAUAUGGCAGAGAACGGUGAUGAAGUUCUGCUGAAGCUUGGCACAGAGCUAAUACUGUACAAUUCAAGGAACGCAUCAUUCAAGCGACUUGCCGAUUAUGUGUCGGGUGAUUUCCUUCAAGUUCAAGUGGCCACCUACUUAGAGAGCCUUACUUCACCUCAUAUUUAGUGAUGUGAUGACAGGUUACGCCUUGAAGGCAAAAAAAGAGAGGGUGCUUGGCCUGCAACAUUGAACCGAGAAAUGCUACAAUUAUCAUGCUCAAUUGGAGUUCUAUAUUUCUACACAAUUCAUAUCAUGGGCCAUGUUGUUACAAAAUCCUUGAAUCCACUAAAGAUCAAUGCCAAAUAGGAAAGAUUUGGGGAUGGAGCUCAUGGGCAAAAAGGCGCACACUUCAGUGACUUGUUGCCUGCAUUAAAAGACCAACUAAAUGAGGCGAAACACCCAACUCGUAUUGCUUGUAGCUUCAGAGCCAGAGCCGAUGCCUCAACUGAACUUUUAAGAACACAACCACAAAGUCAUAAGAUACCAGCACGAAUCACGGCUUCCCUUUUUGUACAAUGCCCUUUUGAUCAUCGGAUAUAAGUGGAUGAGGUAAAUAUUGCUUAGUAUUCUUUCAUAUUUUCCCUUCUUGUUUCGGCAUGAAACUCCUUUUCUGCAUGUUACUGAAGAAGGGGAAAUAUGAAAUUAACAUUUUUCAAUAAUUUCAAAAAAGCAAUUCAUCAAUUACAAAUCUGCAGUGUUGCUAAAACUUUGUUUCAACGGUCUUUACUGGAAAUUUUGAUUCAGUUUAUAUUGUCAUUGUACUCUAUAGGGUUAUUCGAUUCAGUUCCUAGUUAAUAGCAUGAACUGUGAAAUUGAACAGUGAA